ACGUUGGAUACUGGAGCGGGGAAGGAUUUCGUGCCAACGGCACUCGUACACGAGUUGUUCGGAUACUGAGCACAACGUUACACCGUUUUGUUAGGAAAGUGAAGGUGCGUCGGCGGCGUGCGUUUUUUUUUUGGUUUUUUUUUUUUUUUUAAAAAAAAAAAAAAAAAAGGCGCCCCCCCCUGGGCCUUUUUGAAAAGGGGAAA
rnacentral:rRNA from 1 species